CAAUCGAGGUCAUCGUCGCGUCAUUGAGCAUCGCCAUCUUGUGCGUUCCAGAGAGCGUCACCUUCCUCCUGGUUCCAGAGAGAGUCAUCUUCCUCUUGGUUC